rnacentral:rRNA from 1 species
CGGCCGCGUCGACGGGUGUAAAGGGAGCGUAGACGGGACAGCAAGUCUGAUGUGAAAGGCGGGGGCUCAACCCCGAACUGCAUUGGAAACUGUUGACCUGGAGUGCCGGAGAGGUAAGCGGAAUUCCUAGUGUAGCGGUGAAAUGCGUAGAUAUUAGGAGGAACACCAGUGGCGAAGGCGGCUUACUGGACGGUAACUGACGUUGAGGCUCGAAAGCGUGGGGAUCGAACAGGAUUAGAUACCCUGGUAGUCCACGCUGUAAACGAUGAUGGCUAGCCGUUGCGGGGCGACCUGCAGUGGUCAAGCGAAAGCGAUAAGCCAUCCACCUGGGGAGUACGGCCGCAAGGCUGAAACUCAAAGGAAUUGACGGGGGCCCGCACAAGCGGAGGAACAUGUGGUGUCGACGCGGCC